rnacentral:misc_RNA from 1 species
CAAGGAGGAACUCUUCCAUCACCAGAAGGUGGGACAGAAACUAAGGGCGUAUCAACCAGAAACAUCCUGUAUGAGCUUUCAGUAACAUGAUCUGGUGUAUCAUUAUGCACUUUCAUCUGAUAUCUUCUAUACAAUGCAAAUUCUUCUGGAUCAAAACUGGAUCUUUUCAAACGGAUCUCUAACUUCCGCCUUUUCCCUUGAGGAUGUUUGGCACUCCUCCUCAUACAGCAGGCUUUUCUUUUACAACCUGCAGCAGAUUCUUUUGAGCCAAUAACAAUUUGA